rnacentral:rRNA from 1 species
CUCGGUGAUUGGAGCGAGGUGGAACCACCUUUUCCCAUUCCGAACAGAGUCGUGAAACGCCUUAGCGCCGACGAUAGUUGUGGGGCAACUCACCGCGAAAAUAAGUCAUUGCCGAGG